UACGGGGGGGGCAAGCGUUGUUCGGAAUUACUGGGCGUAAAGGGCUCGUAGGCGGCCAACUAAGUCAGACGUGAAAUCCCUCGGCUUAACCGGGGAACUGCGUCUGAUACUGGAUGGCUUGAGAUUGGGAGAGGGAUGCGGAAUUCCAGGUGUAGCGGUGAAAUGCGUAGAUAUCUGGAGGAACACCGGUGGCGAAGGCGGCAUCCUGGGCCCUACCUGACGCUGAGACGCGAAAGCGUGGGGAGCGAACAGG
rnacentral:rRNA from 1 species